GGCUCGUUGGUCAAGGGGUUUAAGACACCGCCCUUUCACGGCGGUAACACGGGUUCGAAUCCCGUACGGGUCACCA
rnacentral:tRNA from 2 species